rnacentral:rRNA from 1 species
CCUACGGGUGGCAGCAGUAGGGAAUAUUGCUCAAUGGGGGAAACCCUGAAGCAGCAACGCCGCGUGGAGGAUGAAGGUUUUCGGAUUGUAAACUACUGUCCCCAGGGACGAAGAUGACGGUACCUGGGGAGGAAGCUCCGGCUAACUACGUGCCAGCAGCCGCGGUAAUACGUAGGGAGCGAGCGUUGUCCGGAAUUACUGGGUGUAAAGGGAGCGUAGGCGGGGAUGCAAGUUGGGUGUUAAAUCUACCGGCUCAACUGGUAGUCGCACUCAAAACUGCAGCUCUUGAGUGAAGUAGAGGCAGGCGGAAUUCCUAGUGUAGCGGUGAAAUGCGUAGAUAUUAGGAGGAACACCAGUGGCGAAGGCGGCCUGCUGGGCUUUUACUGACGCUGAGGCUCGAAAGUGUGGGGAGCAAACAGGAUUAGAUACCCUGGUAGUC